rnacentral:rRNA from 1 species
GUCCUCUUGUUUAUAUAUGAGGUCUGACCUGCCCGGUGAAAAUUAAUUUUAACGGCCGCAGUAUUUUGACUGUGCAAAGGUAGCAUAAUCAUUAGUCUUUUAAUAGGGGGCUGGUAUGAAGGGUUUGACGAGGUGUUAACUGUCUCAUUUAAUUUGAAUUUAGAAUUUAACUUUUCAGUCAAAAGGCUGAAAUUAUAUUGGAAGACGAGAAGACCCUAUAGAGCUUUAUAAUUAAAUUUUUAAUUAUUUUUUGUUUAUUAUUUUUUAUUAUUACUUUAAUUAUUUUGUUGGGGUGACAAAAACAUAUGAUUAACUUUUUUAUUUAUUUAACAUUGAUUUAUGAAUAUUAGAUCCAUUAUUAUUGAUUGUUAGAUUAAGUUACCUUAGGGAUAACAGCGUAAUCUUCCUUCAGAGUUCAUAUUUACGGGAAGGCUUGCGACCUCGAUGUUGGAUUAAGAUAAUAGUUAGGUGUAGCCGCUUAAUAUAUAGGUCUGUUCGACCUUUAAAUUCUU